GCACAUAUUUUUUUGCAGAAUAACUUCAUUGAGAAAAAAGUUGGCCCUCAUGAAAAACUUCCUUGGGCACAAAGUGUCAUUAGAAAGGGCUUCACAGGUGACACUUCACUGAAUACCGUUAAGAUAUAUUCUGGUUUGUUACUUCCAAACCAAUUAUUCAUUUGAGUGGUUUUUUUUCUUGCCUUAAUUAAAUGUUGCAUAUUUUUCAUUAUUUUAAGCACUUGAAAAGCUAUUGAAAGAUCAUGCAGGGAGAUAUGCCACUGGAGAUGAAAUUUUUCUGGUACUUGCAAUUCAUAUGACAAUGCUCAGUUACUAUUAUUAUACCAUGUGUGUUUGUAUGCGUAUUUUUAUACUUAAAUUUAGCUGCAGCACUUUAUGCAUCUUUGGGGGACUAGGCAUAUGACUGAUUAUAGGAAUCAAUUCCUUUUUGUGAUAAUAACAACUAUUAUUAUAAUAUUUUUGUACUUAAAUUUAUGCAGCACUUAAAUUUUUAUACAAGCAUGUUUACUCAUCUUAAUUGGAUGUGGCAACCCUUUUUAAUGAACAACUAUUAUUAUAAUAUUAGUAUUCCUUUGAAAGCAUGUCUUUGGAAUGUGAACUUGGAUUUUUACCUUAGCAACUUGUAAGGCAUCUUUCUAAGUAUAAUAAUUGGAUGAUCAAUUCUUUCUCACCCUGUUUGUCCAUGUAUUUUGUGAUCUUGUUCUGUUUGAUUGGCCUUUAUGGUUAACAAAACCGAACCAAUUACCGAACCUACGGUUACUAGGAUCAAUAUGGUUGAGCCGGCAUAAACACCCCUUUUGACUAGGUAGCAUUCACCAUUCAACCAACCUAUCCUAUAAGGCUGCCUCUUACUCAUGCUUGUGGCAGUUAUCAAUAAGAUCAUUGCAAUCCCAAAGCUAAGCCUGCCAACCAUCACAUCAUUCAAAUUUUAUUACUGCAUUAGGGGCAAAGCUUUUUUGUUCUUCUAUUGUGUACAAUUGAAUUUGUGCUAUAGAGUUCCUGUUCUUAUUAUGUAAUUUGUAUUAAUGGAAUUCAAAACAGUGUAGGGGAAUUUGAGUUUUGAAAUACCUUUAAUUCUUAUUAUUAGUCUUCAAUAUGUAGUGCAAGAUCACUUAGAGGAUUUUAAUUGGUGUUGCCGUGAAAAAUGUAAUCUAACAGCCCAUUCCAGAGCCCCGCUAGGAAUGAACAAGGGAAUGAACACUGAUACAAUUGUUAAGGCCAAGAGUUUUCUUGAUGGUGACGAAGAUCAGCAUGAAAAAGAUGUGUUUGAGAAGAAUUUGAAGGCGCUUCAGAAGAUUUUUUAGUCAUUAUGCCAAGAUUAAAAGAUUGACGAUUUUCUGUUUGUUAAGCUCUUGUCGGAUAUAGAGUGCAAACUUUGCAUUUUAAUUGAUGUGAUACAAGUUUCAUGUGACUUAAA